rnacentral:rRNA from 1 species
CUUUUACAAUGAAGAGUUUGAUCCUGGCUCAGGAUGAACGCUAGCUACAGGCUUAACACAUGCAAGUCGAGGGGCAGCAUUUUAGUUUGCUUGCAAACUGAAGAUGGCGACCGGCGCACGGGUGAGUAACACGUAUCCAACCUGCCGAUAACUCCGGAAUAGCCUUUCGAAAGAAAGAUUAAUACCGGAUAGCAUACGAAUAUCGCAUGAUAUUUUUAUUAAAGAAUUUCGGUUAUCGAUGGGGAUGCGUUCCAUUAGUUUGUUGGCGGGGUAACGGCCCACCAAGACUACGAUGGAUAGGGGUUCUGAGAGGAAGGUCCCCCACAUUGGAACUGAGACACGGUCCAAACUCCUACGGGAGGCAGCAGUGAGGAAUAUUGGUCAAUGGGCGAGAGCCUGAACCAGCCAAGUAGCGUGAAGGAUGAAGGCUCUAUGGGUCGUAAACUUCUUUUAUAUGGGAAUAAAGUUUUCCACGUGUGGAAUUUUGUAUGUACCAUAUGAAUAAGGAUCGGCUAACUCCGUGCCAGCAGCCGCGGUAAUACGGAGGAUCCGAGCGUUAUCCGGAUUUAUUGGGUUUAAAGGGAGCGUAGGUGGAUUGUUAAGUCAGUUGUGAAAGUUUGCGGCUCAACCGUAAAAUUGCAGUUGAAACUGGCAGUCUUGAGUACAGUAGAGGUGGGCGGAAUUCGUGGUGUAGCGGUGAAAUGCUUAGAUAUCACGAAGAACUCCGAUUGCGAAGGCAGCUCACUAGACUGUCACUGACACUGAUGCUCGAAAGUGUGGGUAUCAAACAGGAUUAGAUACCCUGGUAGUCCACACAGUAAACGAUGAAUACUCGCUGUUUGCGAUAUACAGUAAGCGGCCAAGCGAAAGCAUUAAGUAUUCCACCUGGGGAGUACGCCGGCAACGGUGAAACUCAAAGGAAUUGACGGGGGCCCGCACAAGCGGAGGAACAUGUGGUUUAAUUCGAUGAUACGCGAGGAACCUUACCCGGGCUUAAAUUGCAACAGAAUAUAUUGGAAACAGUAUAGCCGUAAGGCUGUUGUGAAGGUGCUGCAUGGUUGUCGUCAGCUCGUGCCGUGAGGUGUCGGCUUAAGUGCCAUAACGAGCGCAACCCUUAUCUUUAGUUACUAACAGGUCAUGCUGAGGACUCUAGAGAGACUGCCGUCGUAAGAUGUGAGGAAGGUGGGGAUGACGUCAAAUCAGCACGGCCCUUACGUCCGGGGCUACACACGUGUUACAAUGGGGGGUACAGAAGGCGGCUACACGGUGACGUGAUGCUAAUCCCAAAAACCUCUCUCAGUUCGGAUCGAAGUCUGCAACCCGACUUCGUGAAGCUGGAUUCGCUAGUAAUCGCGCAUCAGCCAUGGCGCGGUGAAUACGUUCCCGGGCCUUGUACACACCGCCCGUCAAGCCAUGAAAGCCGGGGGUACCUGAAGUACGUAACCGCAAGGAGCGUCCUAGGGUAAAACUGGUAAUUGGGGCUAAGUCGUAACAAGGUAGCCGUACCGGAAGGUGCGGCUGGAACACCUCCUUUCU